rnacentral:rRNA from 1 species
AUUGAACGCUGGCGGCAGGCUUAACACAUGCAAGUCGAGCGGAGAUGAGGUGCUUGCACCUUAUCUUAGCGGCGGACGGGUGAGUAAUGCUUAGGAAUCUGCCUAUUAGUGGGGGACAACAUUCCGAAAGGAAUGCUAAUACCGCAUACGUCCUACGGGAGAAAGCAGGGGAUCUUCGGACCUUGCGCUAAUAGAUGAGCCUAAGUCGGAUUAGCUAGUUGGUGGGGUAAAGGCCUACCAAGGCGACGAUCUGUAGCGGGUCUGAGAGGAUGAUCCGCCACACUGGGACUGAGACACGGCGCAGACUCCUACGGGAGGCAGCAGUGGGAAUAUUGGACAAUGGGGGGAACCCUGAUCCAGCCAUGCCGCGUGUGUGAAGAAGGCCUUAUGGUUGUAAAGCACUUUAAGCGAGGAGGAGGCUACUGAGACUAAUACUCUUGGAUAGUGGACGUUACUCGCAGAAUAAGCACCGGCUAACUCUGUGCCAGCCGCCGCCGUAACAC